rnacentral:misc_RNA from 1 species
UGUGGGAGCGGGCUUGCUCGCGAUGGCGGCAACGUGGUUUCAAGAUAAACCGCGUCGGUUGCAUCGCGAGCAAGCCCGCUCCCACA